ensembl:snRNA U6 U6 spliceosomal RNA
GUGCUCGCUUCGGCAGCACGUAUACUAAAAUUGGAAUGAUACAGGGAUUAGCAUGGCCCUUGCGCUUAAGGAUGACACACAAAUUCGUCAAGUAUUCCAUAUUUAA